GCGCAGGAAAAGAAACCAACAGGGAUUGCCCUAGUAACGGCGAGUGAAGCGGCAACAGCUCAAAUUUGAAAUCUGGCUCUCGGGCCCGAGUUGUAAUUUGUAGAGGAUACUUUUGAUGCGGCGCCUUCCGAGUUCCCUGGAACGGGACGCCAUAGAGGGUGAGAGCCCCGUCUGGUUGGAUGCCAAAUCUCUGUAAAGUUCCUUCGACGAGUCGAGUAGUUUGGGAAUGCUGCUCUAAAUGGGAGGUAUAUGUCUUCUAAAGCUAAAUACCGGCCAGAGACCGAUAGCGCACAAGUAGAGUGAUCGAAAGAUGAAAAGCACUUUGAAAAGAGAGUUAAAAAGUACGUGAAAUUGUUGAAAGGGAAGCGUUUAUGACCAGACUUGGGCUUGGUUAAUCAUCUGGGGUUCUCCCCAGUGCACUUUUCCAGUCCAGGCCAGCAUCAGUUUUCGCCGGGGGAUAAAGACUUCGGGAAUGUGGCUCUCUUCGGGGAGUGUUAUAGCCCGUUGUGUAAUACCCUGGCGGGGACUGAGGUUCGCGCAUCUGCAAGGAUGCUGGCGUAAUGGUCAUCAACGACCCGUCUUGAAACACGGACUAAGGAGUCGUCUUCGUAUGCGGGUGUUCGGGUGUCAAACCCCUACGCGUAAUGAAAGUGAACGCAGGUGAGAGCUUCGGCGCAUCAUCGACCGAUCCUGAUGUUCUCGGAUGG
rnacentral:rRNA from 1 species